UCACUGGAGGACUAGUGGUUAGGCCACAGCGCUCUCACUGCUGUAGCCCUGGUUCGAUUCCCAGCCAGGGAA
rnacentral:tRNA from 1 species